CUGACAUGUUUAGCUGCAAUGCUACAAAAGAAGCUGUUUUUGUACCAUGAUCAACAACAGAAAUAAUCAGAGUUUCCUAAACUCCUCCAGGACUUUAAUUGGAAUUAUGUUGUCAGAUGACUGUAAGAUUCAGCCUUUCAGCAACAAACACUUCAGCUCUGCUGCAUUGAACUGAAGCAAAAGUGGGGAUGAAAAAGGAAGAGAGGAUUUGUUGUCAAGGUGCCAUCUAGUCUAAGCCCCCCACCCGACACGAAGAGUAAGGGUUCCGAUUUCAGCCUCUACCGAUGACCUUGGAUUGUUUAUUUCUGAAUGACUGACGGUUCCCCUUGCCCCGAGGUUUCUUCUGCGAGAUGUAUAACUGGCUGCUUCCAUCCACUAAUCCAUAUUGACAUCAAGUCUGCAGGAGAUGGACAGCAUGUUAAUCUUCAGUGGCCCUGUAACCCUUCAUCACAGAGUGUUGGGGACCAAUGGAUGCAGGUUACUCACUUGAACAGCUCCUCCAACCCCAGACGACCAUGUGACCACUCAUCUUCAUUUCUUAUCACUGUUGAGGCACUCCAGGGGAACUAGUUUAUCCAUGUGUUAAAAACACAAUGCAUACUUACAAGCAUGCUUCACUGCAGAGCCUGAAGUCACAAUUGUUGGGUGACGAGUGCUUUCAUGGAGCUGCAGUGCUGUUAUCUAUUAGCUUUAAUGUCACUGCAUGAAAAACAGAAACUCCCCCAUUCCUGAUCUGUUUUUCUCCAGAAUAUUUUAGUGUCUAAAUAAAAUGAGAA